rnacentral:rRNA from 1 species
AGCGGCGGACGGGUGAGUAACGCGUGGGUAACCUGCCUCAUACAGGGGGAUAACAGUUGGAAACGGCUGCUAAUACCGCAUAAGCGCACAGUACCGCAUGGUACGGUGUGAAAAACUCCGGUGGUAUGAGAUGGACCCGCGUCUGAUUAGCCAGUUGGCGGGGUAACGGCCCACCAAAGCGACGAUCAGUAGCCGACCUGAGAGGGUGACCGGCCACAUUGGGACUGAGACACGGCCCAA